UACAGAGGUCCCAAGCGUUUGUUCGGAUUCAUUGGGCGUAAAGGGUGCGUAGGCGGCGCGGUAAGUCGGGUGUGAAAUCUCGGAGCUUAACUCCGAAACUGCAUUCGAUACUGCCGUGCUUGAGGACUGGAGAGGAGACUGGAAUUUACGGUGUAGCGGUGAAAUGCGUAGAUAUCGUAAGGAAGACCAGUGGCGAAGGCGGGUCUCUGGACAGUUCCUGACGCUGAGGCACGAAGGCCAGGGGGAGCAAACGGG
rnacentral:rRNA from 1 species